ACAUAAUUUGUUCACUUAGAAAUAAAAACUCAAUAUUUUGAGUAAAACAAAUCAUUUUUACCCCCUUGUAUUCCUUUUAAUACUGUAAAUAUGCAUACACACUGUAUAUACAGUGUAUUUUUGCAAACACAUGUUUGUGUGAGUGCUGUGACAAACUCCACACAAGACAGUCGUGUUGGUGUUACAAUAUCUCUGUCUGAAGUUUGGUGUGUAUGGCUAAUCAGUUUUUGUGUUAAGUUACUAUGCAAAAACACCAGAAGAGUUCAAAUAGUUUUAAACGAAGUGUUUGCUUUUGCAAGAGAUGCAUAAUGUUUUGCAUGUUGCAUGCGUGUUUUGUGGUUUUGUGUGUAGAGUUCAGAGAAAUGGAGCCCUGGUUCUGUCUCUCAUUGGUUGGAUUGUGUCAUGUGACCCUGAUUGUUUGGUGUAUAUGUAGCCCUCAUGUAGCCUUUGUCUCUUGUCGUGUGUUGAUGUUGUAACCUGCUGUCGGUGAGUCAAGUCUAAAUCAUUAAAGGAGUGGUUGACUGUUUCUUUUCUAGGCUUGAUUGUGUUUAUGGGGUGCAGUCUAAGAUGUGUUCAUGCUUCAGUUUAAAAAAAAAUGCAUAAUUUUUCACAUAAUUUAGCUUUAUUCCACACCGAUCUGCCCCUUCUCUGACAAAAGCCUUGAUUAUUUCCUGUUAUUGUGAAGCGCCUCCCUCAGAAAUACACGAUGGGCUGAGAUUGGUCAGAUGGCUCAGUGUGCUGUGAUUGGCUAAACUGCCUCGAGCGCGUCUGAACAUCCCGCCCCUCUCAAGCUCAGAAUGUGCUCCGGUUUUAUUGUAAACAAUGACGUCCUCUAUAUUGCUCAUCAAUGUGAGCUUGAUUGAGACGCAGAGAAUAUUAUGAAGAGGAUCGCGCAGAACCUGUGCAAGCACGGCUCUUAAUGUUCCUGGGGCAGGAGCCACCAAGACACCACUUUCUCUUGAUAGAGAGGAUCUGUAUGCCGGCCUACAUUUAUACCUCUCAGAUCGUAGACCUGUCCAUCAGAUGAACCUCCUGCCCAAGGAUCU